GGAGGAUUGUCGGCCCUCCAGCGUCGUCCAUGCGGGGGAGGGCGCUAAACCACCCUGUGCCGCGUUGGCUGAAGACCGUCGUGGUGAGCGACAGGGAAAAGACACGGCGAGAUCGUGUCAGGU
rfam:Frankia sp. ETN1f ctg00420, whole genome shotgun sequence.